GAGGGUAUAGCUCAGUGUUAGAGUGCAUGCUUAGCAUGUACCAGGUCCUGGGUUCAAUCCCCAGUACCUCCA
rnacentral:tRNA from 1 species